GCCUUCACCCGGGUGGCACGGUCCAACGGAGCAGGGACAACAAGAACGCUCCUCUCUGCGAGAUAUGAUUCAACAAAAGUUCAAGCAAGAGAUGUUUGCUAAACCUCAAGAAGAAAUGUUGACUAUUCAAGCUAAAAAUACCACGUUGCAUCGGAAUGGUCAAAACUUGAGACCAGCUGCUAAAAAGGGCCGCAACUCCAAGACACCGGGCCAUGAAAGGGAGGCAGCGGGUCACCUUGUGACCUCCUUGCCUACCGAGGAAGGCUUGCCACAGCUGGACUUGUUAGCUCUCAAGUCUCCGAAGCCUGACGUAGAAAACCAGACUGAGAUUCAAGCCCUCAGACGACCCCUGAAACUUGCCCCGCUGGAGCUGCCAGAGAAGGUGAAGGAGGCUCAGAAGGAAAAGCUUAAGUUUAUCCACCAAGAACCCAACCCAGCCUCUUGUAAGCUGGAUGGGACCCAUACGAGGAAGGCAAAAUCAUGCAUGAGGCAAAGACUGGUAAAAGCAGAGGCAUUUCCUUCUGCUUCCAUUGCACCAGUCAAAGCCCAGCAGCAAAAUCAAUCAGCAAGGCCACAGCUGACGCGUGCCAACCCCAUAGAGCAGGAUGGACACAAGCAUCUGGAGGAUGUGGUGUGUCGAGGUACCCCAGCUCCUCUGUGCAGCAAACCUAACCCUCCCUCAUUUUUCCCUCAAAUUAAAGCUCAGGCUGCAUGUGGCAGAGAGGCGGCGUGCCACAUCCCUGGCAACUUCCAGGAGGAGACAGGUUGGAGGCGGCUAAGGCUGCCUAGAGCACAAUGCCUAGAAGAGGAUCAGUGCAAUUCAAACACGUCAACACUAGGAUUAUCAGCAGAUGAGUGCAAGCUGGUCCAAGGUGUCCAAGGCAAAGGGCAGCGGGGAGAGAGGCUUCUUCGAGGACAGCCACAUGUUGGGAAAGGCAUCAAACAGCCGCCUGCACCUGCAGCCUCCUGGGAGAAUGGAAGUGCCAGGAAGAGCCACGAGGAGGAUGGCAGUAAGCAAGCUGCACUCUGAACCGACAGUCAGCUGAAGGUGGAAGCAGAGAACAGGAACUUGAUAGUCUGAAGCCAAGUGCUGCUAACUGCAGAUUAAUGAGGAAAAAAGCCUUGAUCGCAAAGCAUAACAAUGCAGUCCCUCUGGAAUGUCUCUAAUAAAAUAGGAUGAUGUCAUCAUAAAGCACACACAUGCAGAGGACUGGUAUAGACUGGAAUGUACUCCAACUGGAAACCUGAUUUCUAGUAUUUUAAGCAGGAAUGUACAACAUAAUGAUUACUCUUCGGCAGUGCUUAUUUAUUUAUUUUUUAUUAACUCAAAUGUCUCCAGUGUGAAAAUAGCUCCUUAUGAAAUCUCGGGGGUGUAUUGUACAUGCUGUUGGCACAAAGACCCGGAUCAAGAUUUUUUUGUGGCCCAAAAACAGAAAAUGCAAUGAAAAAAACCUGGUUUAUGAUCAGAUGUGUAGAUAGGUCGGGAGCGCAUUUGUUUUGUUAAAUUAUCAUUCUUUCUGAUUUGUUAAAGCAAUUCUGCUUUUCUAAGCAGAAUUAAUUCGACCUAUAGGCAGCUACAGGAGUUUCUGAAUGCCAGCUGAGUUUUUUGUUGUUGUUUGAUCACACUCCUCCACCCUGGAAGUGCUUUAAUGUGGCUUUUGGAAACGAGCCAGGCAGGUAACAUUAGAGAUGUAACUCACCCCAAAGUAUGAACCCGUGAGCUCACUGUCAUUACUGCCAUUAUAUACUGUCUGCUUUAUUCAUUAAAUUAUCUUUGGUAACUAAGUGCUAUGUUUGCUCUAGAAAUAAAAAGGAGACUGUGGAUCCAAAACUUCUUUCCACUGCCCCCAAGUGGUCAGAAACAGCAGUUACUGAAAGAUUUACUGCAGUGAAAAUCUGCUGCUUGGAGUCAGCGUCUUAUAAACACCAAAGGAAAAGCUUCAAAAGCUUUUUCAGGGUUAUAGUCUAUGCCAACUGUGACCUCUGGCCAGGAAUAAACAAUAAAAGCCACUAAACAAGAAAAGUAAAACUUUUCAAGCCAAACCUGCAACAAAAUCAAUGAUAUAACUGUUUGCAGUGUUUUUCCACUCAUUAAAAAUCUGCAUAUGCAGUGCUGUCUCUUGUGGACCCCACUAAUAAGAAAAAACAAAGCACAAACAACAUGUUUGUAUAUUAAGAAGUUAACCUCUCUAGUAAAGAACCUUCUACACAUCACAUCAGACUUUCUAGUAAAAGUCCUUGUUUCAGUGCGAUCUUCAGUAUGUUUUGGUUUCUUUCACUUCCGCAGCUAUUACAUUUUAUUGCUAUUUCUCUUGUUUUAUUGAACAUCCAUUGUGUUCUGUUUGUCUUUGCACCAUUUUUCUAUUUGCCAGUUUUUCUUAAGCUGCAGUGUGUUUGACCUCUGAGGGCAGUCUAAGUACAACACUACACAAGUCAACAAUGACAAGAACUAAUUUCACAGACUCUACUGAAGGGCGGCCCUCAAGAGUGAUACCCUGGAACACAUGUCUUUUAUCCUGUCUUCCUUCUCUCACCCCAACCAGUCGCAGCAGAUGGCCCCGCCCCUCCCUGAGCCUGGUUCUGCCGGAGGUUUCUUCCUGUUAAAAGGGAGUUUUUCCUUCCCACUGUCGCCAAAGUGCUUGCUCAUAGGGGGUCAUAUGAUUGUUGGG
ensembl:lncRNA